CGAAAGGGUGAUCGAGCGACGCCGCGUGUGCGAUGAAGGUCUUCGGAUCGUAAAGCACUGUCAGCCGGAAGGAAUCUCUGGAGGCUUAAUAAGCUUGCAGGGUGACAGUACCGGCAGAGGAAGCCACGGCUAACUCCGUGCCAGCAGCCGCGGUAAUACGGAGGUGGCAGGCGUUAAUCGGAAUUAUUGGGCGUAAAGGGCGCGUAGGCGGAUUUAUAAGUCUGGUUUGAAAUACCGUGGCUCAACCACGGUGCGGGACUGGAAACUAUAAGUCUAGAGGGUAGACGGAGAAAACGGAAUUCCAAGUGUAGCGGUGAAAUGCGUAGAUAUUUGGAAGAACACCGGUGGCGAAGGCGGUGUGCUGGUCCAUUACUGACGCUGAGGCGCGAAAGCCAGGGGAGCAAACGGGAUUAGAUACCCCGGUAGUCCUGGCUGU
rnacentral:rRNA from 1 species